UACGUAGGGUGCGAGCGUUGUCCGGAAUUAUUGGGCGUAAAGAGCUCGUAGGCGGUCUGUCGCGUCUGCUGUGAAAACCCGAGGCUCAACCUCGGGCCUGCAGUGGGUACGGGCAGACUAGAGUGCGGUAGGGGAGAAUGGAAUUCCGUGGUGUAGCGGUGGAAUGCGCAGAUAUCAGGAGGAACACCGAUGGCGAAGGCAGUUCUCUGGGCCGUAACUGACGCUGAGGAGCGAAAGCGUGGGGAGCGAACAGG
rnacentral:rRNA from 1 species